rnacentral:rRNA from 1 species
UACAGAGGGUGCAAGCGUUAAUCGGAAUUACUGGGCGUAAAGCGCGCGUAGGUGGUUUGUUAAGUCGGAUGUGAAAUCCCCGGGCUCAACCUGGGAACUGCAUCCGAAACUGGCAAGCUAGAGUAUGGUAGAGGGUAGUGGAAUUUCCUGUGUAGCGGUGAAAUGCGUAGAUAUAGGAAGGAACACCAGUGGCGAAGGCGACUACCUGGACUGAUACUGACACUGAGGUGCGAAAGCAUGGGGAGCGAACAGG